CCCUUAGAUGUCCUGGGCUGCACGCGCGCUACACUGGAAGUUACGGAUUGAGAUACUACCUUGUCCGAAAUGGUCCGGGUAAUCACCUAAAAGCUUGUCAUAAUUGGAAUGGAUUAUUGUAACUAGUAAUCCUGAACGAGGAAUUCCUAGUAAGUCCCAGUCAACAGCUGGUACUGAUUACGUCCCUGCCCUUUGUACACACCGCCCGUCGCUACUACUGAUUGGACGUUUAAGCAAGAUUUUUAAACACUGACAGUGUGUAGUUCACGCUAUACUACAGUGAGAAGAAGAAGAUCGAGCUUACUUGUCUAGAGGAAGUAAAAGUCGUAACA
rnacentral:rRNA from 1 species